UGGGGAAUUUUGGACAAUGGGGGCAACCCUGAUCCAGCCAUUCCGCGUGAGUGAAGAAGGCCUUCGGGUUGUAAAGCUCUUUUGUUCGGGACGAAACGGUUACGGGUAACAUCCGUGACUAAUGACGGUACCGGAAGAAUAAGCACCGGCUAACUACGUGCCAGCAGCCGCGGUAAUACGUAGGGUGCGAGCGUUAAUCGGAAUUACUGGGCGUAAAGCGUGCGCAGGCGGUUAUGUAAGCCAGAUGUGAAAUCCCCGGGCUCAACCUGGGAAUGGCAUUUGGGACUGCAUGGCUAGAGUAUGGCAGAGGAGACUAGAAUUCCUGGUGUAGCAGUGAAAUGCGUAGAUAUCAGGAGGAAUACCGAUGGCGAAGGCAGGUCUCUGGGUCAAUACUGACGCUCAUGCACGAAAGCGUGGGGAGCAAACAGGAUUAGAUACCCUGGUAGUCCACGCCCUAAACGAUGUCGACUGGUUGUUGGGAGAUUUAUUCUCUUAGUAACGAAGCUAACGCGUGAAGUCGACCGCCUGGGGAGUACGGUCGCAAGAUUA
rnacentral:rRNA from 1 species